rnacentral:rRNA from 1 species
UUGAACGCUGGCGGCAUGCCUUACACAUGCAAGUCGAACGGCAGCACGGGGGCGACCCUGGUGGCGAGUGGCGAACGGGUGAGUAACGCAUCGGAACGUACCCGGAAGUGGGGGAUAACGUAGCGAAAGUUACGCUAAUACCGCAUAUUCUGUGAGCAGGAAAGAGGGGGAUCGCAAGACCUCUCGCUUCCGGAGCGGCCGAUGUCGGAUUAGGUAGUUGGUGGGGUAAAGGCUCACCAAGCCGACGAUCUGUAGCUGGUCUGAGAGGACGACCAGCCACACUGGGACUGAGACACGGCCCAGACUCCUACGGGAGGCAGCAGUGGGGAAUUUUGGACAAUGGGCGCAAGCCUGAUCCAGCAAUGCCGCGUGCAGGAAGAAGGCCUUCGGGUUGUAAACUGCUUUUGUACGGAGCGAAAAGGCUCUCUCUAAUACAGGGGGCUCAUGACGGUACCGUAAGAAUAAGCACCGGCUAACUACGU